rnacentral:rRNA from 1 species
CAAUAGCGUAUAUUAAAGUUGUUGCAGUUAAAAAGCUCGUAGUUGGAUUUGUGGCGUACGGUGUGUUCCGGGCACUUGUUGUCUGAGUAACCUGCUGUUGCCAUCCUUGGGUGGAACCUGUGUGGCAUUAGGUUGUCGUGCAGGGGAUGCCCAUCAUUUACUGUGAAAAAAUUAGAGUGUUCAAAGCAGGCUUAUGCCGUCGAAUAUAUUAGCAUGGAAUAAUGAGAUAGGACUUUUUUGCUAUUUUGUUGGUUUGCGCAAGAAGGUAAUGAUUAAUAGGGACAGUUGGGGGUAUUCGUAUUCCAUUGUCAGAGGUGAAAUUCUUGGAUUUUUGGAAGACGAACUACUGCGAAAGCAUUUACCAAGGAUGUUUUCAUUAA